UGCUGGAGGAGCGGCCGGCGUCUUCCUCCAGUGCCCCGGGGAGCGGGAGGCAUGCGCCGCAGGGCCCGGCGAGGAGGAGGAGGGCGGACGGAGCGCUACGCAUUGCUCCACAAACGUGAGGCUGAGCGUUGAGGAAUGGAUUCCCAUCUGCUUUCCUUGCUUUGGGAAGAACGAGGCAGAAGGAAUCGUGUUUUUCCCUUCUCUUAACUCCUUUCCAGACCUGGCCUCCUUUUUUGGAGGAGGAGGUGGGGCAGGACCAUACCAGGCACAGUUACACACUCAGAUUGAUUUAUCUCCUGCUCUUAUAACACAUCAAACAGCUGACAAGACCUUUGCCUGUGCUUUAUGUUAUUCCCCUGGGAUACGUGGUAUGCUUUUAUACCCCACUAUGUGGUAUGCUUUUAUAUCCUGAAAUGGCUCGCUUGAGCAAGGCUGCUGCAAACAGCACAGCCAGCAUCUGUGUGCAGAGGGAACAAUGAGCUGAGCUGGCUUUCCCUUAGCUGCAGAGUUGCAACCUGCAGGUGAGGAAACCUUGCUCCAUUUCACCAUGUUCCUCCUAAUGCCACUCCAGAGGAAAGAAAGGGCUCUUGUAUUCGUGUAUCCAACCCAGGCCAAGUCGAUUUGCAUGUGGAUAUGCUUUAAAAAACAAAAUUAAAGUCAAAGCUGUGGGCAGCAACCUGAUAGAUGUGCUUGUGCACACACAGCAUUGCUCAGAGGGGAGGGAGGGAUGUUGGAUGUUGGCUGCUGGGAGCUCGGCUGUCACCAGCUGAGGUGGCAUUCGGUGGCUCUGCAGAGCAGUGGUCUCCUUCAGCUCGAAAUGAACAGGGAGCUUUUCCCCCAGGUCCCAUUAGAGAUGAUUUGUCUUCCCGAUCCGUGAUCUUUGUGGAAAUGAGAGCAGUGGUCCACAAGUCCCUGCUGGGUGGAUGACAAAGUCACAAGCACUAAUUGGGCUCCUUGUUAAGGGGAUGGCAGGGAAAAUGGCCGUGUUUUCAAAAUGAAAUGUCCUCCCUGACCUCAGGAUCUGCACAUCCCAUUUGCAGCUUAUUGCGGGGGGUAGGGAUGGGCUCUCAUUAGAGGUGGCUCUGUGCACAUUAGAGGCAGAAGCUGCCGUGGGUUAUCAAGGCUGAAGCAGGAGCUCAGGCGAUGGAUUUCUUUCUUUCUUUCCCUUUUCCUUUUAAUCCAGAAAGAAAAAGGACGAGAUUAAAACCGAAACAAUAAGAAUGAAAGGACUCACCUCGCAGCUCUUCCUGUUGUCAGGAGACCUGUGGAUUCAGGGCCAAUUACUGCUUUCACAUGGAGUCGUAUUAACACCGGCUGCAUUGCUGUCGGUGGGGUGUGAGUCAGUGUGCUGCCAGCUGGGGGCAUGGGGACAGAGAUAGCCACAGGUCACAGCCCUUAUGGUGGCAGUUUUGUGUUCCCCAAACGUGCCUUCAAGUUUGGGGGCCAAAUGGAUCCAUUAAAGUGCAAUCUGGUUGUGGCCGUGAGGGUUUUGGUGGUGGGGAAGGAUGUGGAUGGAGCUCAGCAAGUGUUUGGGUUCCACGGUCACAAGCUUCAGGAGCUCCAAAGCAUUGCCUUUAAAUAAAUGGCGUGGGCUGCAUCUCUCUGCUUAGAAAUGGGGGGCUCCAGGGCUUGCUUCCCUCUUGCAUGGGUUUGCUCAUGCUGUGAGCUGAAGUAGCGUGCGGCUGGAUUAUGUAGUAACAUGGCAAAUCAGAGAGUGUAGUUGUUAUUUAAUAAAUGCCAAGGAGACUCAUGAGGCCUUGAAGUUAUAAUAGAAAGAUCUAAUUUAGAAAGAAAGGAAUAGAGAUGCCUGUGAAAAUUGCCAGCGUGCAGUGCUGGGUAUUGAACGUUUCUAUUUGCCCCGUGAGCAGAGAUGUGCUGUGCAAACAGCAUUGUCAGCAGGGGAAACGGCACUGAGACUGCAUGGAGACACAUCCAUGUUUGGAGGAAGACCCUUUUCAGCCUCUGGGUUGUACAGAGAGGAGCAGAAAGCACAGGAAGGCCCUGGGUGGGAGCACUGAGGGACACACAGAAACAAAACCCCUCUUUCUCUCUCUCUCUUUUAUUUUUUAAUGAGCCAUUUGCAGACUUACCCCCAGCGACACUUUGAUUUCAGCCACAAUCAGGGAUAUAAACACAGGCAUUUGGUGCCAGCAGCCAUGGUGGAAGGUGUUGAAAAGGGUCUGUGUGCUUUAGGAUGGACUGCUUAAAGGGCGGCCUCAAAGGUGGACAGACGUUGUCCCCACUACACAAAGAAAAGCUGUAAUGAAACUGAA